UCACCGGAUCAUUCAAUCGGU
rnacentral:siRNA from 1 species